GGCCCCCUCUCCCGAGCCCGCCGCGGCAGUUGGCGCGCUACACGCCGGAGCCUUCACCUUCUUCCUUUGCCAUCGUCUCCGCGGAGACCCGAGUGGCCCUACGGCUCCCGAGCAGCCCGGAGUCUCCCAAACCUCCGAGUAUCCAAACCCCGCGGCCGCCCCGGCCAGCUCCCGGCUGCCGCGCCCCCACUUCCUGACCCGCCCCCCUCUGGUGUCUCCGCCAACUGGGUCCCUCCAAGGCGCUCCGGGAACCAGAGUGCAGGGAGCGGGGCCCGGCCGGAGCGUUUCGCCAGAGCGCCUCAGCCAUGCCCACGAUGGCCACGGGAUGGCAAUGCUCCUGGGAGGAGCGAGUCCCCGCCGCCGCCCUCGCUCCUUGCUGAGCCUCACAGGAAAGCAGGAGCCAGAGCAAGCUUUUCGUGACGCUGGGAUCCGUCUCAGAAAGUCAUAGACUGUAGGCCAGAUCCAGUCCCUAUGUCCGGCCGAUUUUUCAAACAGAAAACGGAGUUUCAACUGCAGAGCAACGAGUCCUGGACUUGUUACGAUGAUUUCAAAGCCAGGCAAGACGUUCUAGACACAUCAGCUCCUGGUAGCAUCCCCAAUCUACUUCAAAGAUGAUGAUGAGCAAAGAAGGACCGCUACAUGGAGUUCGCUUCAGUUGUGGCAAACAUGGCCACUGGGCAAAAAACCUGCCCCUUACCUCAAUGGCUGACAGCAGGCUCUCCAAACUGUGGAAAAGCAGGACACUGGGAAGUUGAUUGAUCCACUUUGCUGAGACAAGCAGCUGAAUAAUCACCUGGAAGAAAGAGAACUGACCCCUGAGGACUGAGCACCACUCUUCAGCUACUGACCCCCGAGGACUGAGCACCACUCUUCAGCUACUGACCCCCGAGGACUGAGCACCACUCUUCAGCUACUGACCCCCGAGGACUGAGCACCACUCUUCGGAAGAACGUGUGAGCGAAGAAGGAAAAUGUGACUUCAAUACUGGACUUUUCUUCAGUCCAAUUUCCCAACUAAUGGAAAAUAAUUCUUGCAUGUUGAAAGUCCUUAAGACAAUAACGGCUAGGGUGGUGCCAGAGAUUCUAUCUAAUCAGACAGUUUUACCUACGAGCACAUCAUCCCUGAGUCACGGACAUGGAAUGGUCUCUGUAGACAGGGCUCGCCCACGCUGCGCUGCACAUCCUCGGAGGCAUCGCAGAACUUCGCUCUUCUGAAGACUCAAGCUAAUUUCAGCUCUAGGGGGUAGAAGGACCGCUUUUGCUCAUAGACCAGUAAGGGACUAAAAGUUACUUGUUUUUAGACUUUAUAGGUAGAAAAAACUUGACUUAAUCAAAUGACUUUACGAAGGAAUGGGGUUUGCUCAGAUGAACCAAACAGAAAUGGUAAUAUUCACUGUUACAGAUCUAUCACCAAGAAGACAGUGAUGGAUGGAUACAUGCAGUAGGCAAAACAAAACAAACAAGAUGAAAGCAAAGGCAGAAAACCACGUCACUUCAUGGAGGACAAGAACCCAUCCCAGUCCAAGAAUCAGAACAAGCCUGUUAGGUGGGGGUCUUAUUUUCAUCUCCAAGGUUAGGCAGGUUUUUCAUUUUUAUUUUUCCCUAGUGCAGUUAAAAGAGGCUUUAUGAUUUUUAAAUACUCAAUGGGACAGCCCAUGCUUAAAUGUUCCUAUUUAUUUACUCUUAAUUAUUUGAAGUAAUGGAGACUG
ensembl:lincRNA Gm26663 predicted gene, 26663